CAAGUACUCCCUCCGUCCGGAAAUACUGGUCGGAGAAAUGGAUGUAACUAGACUUAGUUUAGUUUACGAUACAUACAUUUUUAUUCAAUUAUGUAACAAGUAAUUUUGGACGGAGGGAGUAUAUA
rnacentral:pre_miRNA from 1 species